CUCAGUAGCUCAGUGGUAGAGUGCUUGUGUAUCAUGUGAAUAUCCUGGGUUCAAUCGCCAGUACUGAAA
rnacentral:tRNA from 1 species